AUGGUGAAGCUUGACAGAUUACUAUUCAAUGAUGAGUGGAACACGACCUACCCCAACUCCAUCCUUCGAGCGUUGUCCUCUAGCCUCUCUGACCACUGCCCUUUGCUGCUAACAACGGAUGCAUUCUUCAGGCCGCCGCGACACUUUCGGUUUGAGAACUAUUGGUCCAAGCUAGAGGGGUUUGACCAUGUGAUUUCGGAGGCUUGGAACAGACCCUACGCAUGUACAGACCCGUAUCUCAUCCUGCACUGCAAGCUCACGCGCACUGCGCGUGCUCUGAAGAAAUGGAGGGCUUCUCUGCUUGGUGACCUGAAGAUCCGGAUGGCGAUCUCUAACGAGCUUGUUGGUAUGCUUGACACUGCCAUGGACUACAGGGACUUAACAGUCGCUGAGCGCAGCUUCAGAGGAAUGCUGAAAAUGAACUUGUUGGGAAUUGCUGCGCUGCAGAGGUCACACUAG
rnacentral:rRNA from 1 species